ACGAACGCUGGCGGCAGGCUUAACACAUGCCAGUCGAGCGCCCCGCAAGGGGAGCGGCAGACGGGUGAGUAACGCGUGGGAACGUACCUUGUGGUUCGGAACAACUCCGGGAAACUGGAGCUAAUACCGGAUAAGCCCUAACGGGGAAAGAUUUAUCGCCGAAAGAUCGGCCCGCGUCUGAUUAGCUAGUUGGUGAGGUAACGGCUCACCAAGGCGACGAUCAGUAGCUGGUCUGAGAGGAUGAUCAGCCACACUGGGACUGAGACACGGCCCAGACUCCUACGGGAGGCAGCAGUUGGGAAUAUUGGACAAUGGGCGCAAGCCUGAUCCAUCCAUGCCGCGUGAGUGAUGAAGGCCUUAGGGUUGUAAAGCUCUUUUGUCCGGGAAGAUAAUGACUGUACCGUAAGAAUAAGCCCCGGCUAACUUCGUG
rnacentral:rRNA from 1 species